CAUUCUUUACGGGAAAAGUCCCUAGUCGAGUCUUUGAAUCAACCAGGCACUUGGGGGCUACUGACGUGGUUAUGACUAACCACGUACUCGACUCGAGUAUACCCUGUACAGCCCAGCUGGGGGCCCACAAGGAAUCCUACUUCGACUCCAGGAGUCCACAUGCCAAGUCUUGCGAUUCAAGAUAAGGAAGAUUAAUUAGAGUAUAUCUCCUCAUUAUAACCGACUUGGACUCUACCCGAGACAUUAGUUCCUGCAUAUAUAAAGGACCAGGAGGGAAAGCCAAGGAGACGCCCCAACUUAGAUACAAAUCGCCAAGGAGAACACGAAGAUGAUCUUCGAGAAGACCACCCACACCUCUUUGCUAGCCACACCGAAUCUCGAGGACGAGAUUCAUCUUAAGGGGGUUAGGUCCGUAACAUCCCAAAAUUUCAAACCUUUACAUGUGCAUUGCAUCCAUGAGCAUCAUGCCACAAUUGCAUGUUUGAAUUCAAAUUUGAAUCACAAAAGGCUUUAAAAGAUUUUGUUUACACCUAACUGAGCCUUGGAUUUUCAAACCAUUAAAGUUAUAUAUAUAUAAGGGGUUUAUUGCACAUAUGAGCUAUCCCAUAAUUUUAGGAUAAUUAUUUGGAGUUGAAAAAGUAUUUUAUUUAAAUGGAUAUAUAGCCCUAAGGGCAUUUAUAGGGCAAAUGUAUUUUUAUAUAUUUUAUUUUGAAGAGAAACUACUUCCAAAAGUUGUAUCAUGGUAGAACAAGAUUUUACAAAUUUUCUAGAAUUCAUUUGGACCAAUUUGGAGUUCAAACUCAAAAGAUAUCAAAGAAAUGGGAAAAACAGAAAAAGAAAAGGUCUAAAAGAAAAAAAAAAGGGGGUAAACGGACCGGCCCGGCCGAAUUGGGCCGAACUGGCCCAACUCCCCCGCGCGCGCCACAGCCCAGCCAGCCCAGC
rnacentral:lncRNA from 1 species